GACGUAGGGCGCGAGCGUUUGUCCGGAUUUAUUGGGCGUAAAGAGCUCGUAGGCGGCUCGUUGCGUCGGCUGUGAAAACCCGCAGCUCAACUGUGGGCUUGCAGCUGAUACGGGCGGGCUGGAGUUCGGUAGGGGAGACUGGAAUUCCUGGUGUAGCGGUGAAAUGCGCAGAUAUCAGGAGGAACACCGGUGGCGAAGGCGGGUCUCUGGGCCAUUACUGACACUGAGAAGCGAAAGCAUGGGGAGCGAACAGG
rnacentral:rRNA from 1 species